rnacentral:lncRNA from 1 species
CUUGAGCUGACAAUGCUUGGGAGACAUUUUGUUCCAGAAUAAGUCUAGGUUACACAGGGAUUAGGUAAAGAUAUAUCCACACUUUUCAACUUGCCAUUGUAUUAUAACUUUAUGCACUCUGUUGACUAAACAUCACUCUUAUUUACACAAUCAAACCCCUGUGAGUUUAUUGUGAUUCAUUAUACAUUUUACUUCCCCUCCCACUUCUUUGCUUAAACAGGUAGUGCUUGUCAAGGACCUGGUCCUAAAGGCAUGAAGUUGUGACUAAGAAGCUGAGAAUUUGAUGCCUUGACAGAGCCUGGUGGGAAAGGAAGGGCAUGGGGCUGCACACUCCCCCCAUGCUGCAGGGAGAUGCUGCAGUCAGUAAGCAAAGUUGCAGCAAUACAAUCUGAAUGCAGAAACUUCAUCAUCAAAUGCUUCUGGACCAGGUGGGACAUAGGCAGUAUGAGGGUUAGCAUCUGGCAGACCUGCAGCACAGUUUACAGAGAUGGCAUUUCGUGCACCACUACCACCCGAAUCGACUUGUUACAUAACCAGGUGAGAUGCGCAAAGAUCAUCGGCAACAUCGCCAUCUCCUGACUUGCAAUGAUACUGCGCGUUACCUCUAUGGCACUUGGCAUGCAAGAACUAAAGAAAUGGCACACAAGAUUUCUGGAUUUGCAUUUGCUUAUUUAAAUAAAAUUAGGAAC